GAUGAACGCUAGCGACAGGCUUAACACAUGCAAGUCGAGGGGCAGCACAGGUAGCAAUACCGGGUGGCGACCGGCGCACGGGUGAGUAACGCGUAUGCAACUUACCUAUCAGAGGGGGAUAACCCGGCGAAAGUCGGACUAAUACCGCAUGAAGCAGGGGCCCCGCAUGGGGAUAUUUGCUAAAGAUUCAUCGCUGAUAGAUAGGCAUGCGUUCCAUUAGGCAGUUGGCGGGGUAACGGCCCACCAAACCGACGAUGGAUAGGGGUUCUGAGAGGAAGGUCCCCCACAUUGGUACUGAGACACGGACCAAACUCCUACGGGAGGCAGCAGUGAGGAAUAUUGGUCAAUGGCCGAGAGGCUGAACCAGCCAAGUCGCGUGAGGGAUGAAGGUUCUAUGGAUCGUAAACCUCUUUUAUAAGGGAAUAAAGUGCGGGACGUGUCCCGUUUUGUAUGUACCUUAUGAAUAAGGAUCGGCUAACUCCGUGCCAGCAGCCGCGGUAAUACGGAGGAUCCGAGCGUUAUCCGGAUUUAUUGGGUUUAAAGGGUGCGUAGGCGGCCUUUUAAGUCAGCGGUGAAAGUCUGUGGCUCAACCAUAGAAUUGCCGUUGAAACUGGGGGGCUUGAGUAUGUUUGAGGCAGGCGGAAUGCGUGGUGUAGCGGUGAAAUGCAUAGAUAUCACGCAGAACCCCGAUUGCGAAGGCAGCCUGCCAAGCCAUUACUGACGCUGAUGCACGAAAGCGUGGGGAUCAAACAGGAUUAGAUACCCUGGUAGUCCACGCAGUAAACGAUGAUCACUAGCUGUUUGCGAUACACUGUAAGCGGCACAGCGAAAGCGUUAAGUGAUCCACCUGGGGAGUACGCCGGCAACGGUGAAACUCAAAGGAAUUGACGGGGGCCCGCACAAGCGGAGGAACAUGUGGUUUAAUUCGAUGAUACGCGAGGAACCUUACCCGGGUUUGAACGCAUUCGGACCGAGGUGGAAACACCUUUUCUAGCAAUAGCCGUUUGCGAGGUGCUGCAUGGUUGUCGUCAGCUCGUGCCGUGAGGUGUCGGCUUAAGUGCCAUAACGAGCGCAACCCUUGCCACUAGUUACUAACAGGUAAAGCUGAGGACUCUGGUGGGACUGCCAGCGUAAGCUGCGAGGAAGGCGGGGAUGACGUCAAAUCAGCACGGCCCUUACAUCCGGGGCGACACACGUGUUACAAUGGCGUGGACAAAGGGAAGCCACCUGGCGACAGGGAGCGAAUCCCCAAACCACGUCUCAGUUCGGAUCGGAGUCUGCAACCCGACUCCGUGAAGCUGGAUUCGCUAGUAAUCGCGCAUCAGCCAUGGCGCGGUGAAUACGUUCCCGGGCCUUGUACACACCGCCCGUCAAGCCAUGGGAGCCGGGGGUACCUGAAGUCCGUAACCGCGAGGAUCGGCCUAGGGUAAAACUGGUGACUGGGGCU
rnacentral:rRNA from 1 species